UGGAUCGUCUCGCUGAGUCUCCGUAUGGAGAACGGGGGAACCAAUAUUGACCUACCGCAUGCCUGUAUUUUAAAUACGGUUUAGACGUGCCGUAGGACAGUAUUUGAUUUCUUCACGUGGUCUUUGGGGUGAAUUUAAGGGCAACCGCCAUGAGCGGGUGACCUGAAAUAGGGCGUCUCUCUUUCGUCCGAACCCGACAGCUAACCCCGUAAGCGCAAGUAAGAGAGGCA
rfam:Paenibacillus sp. FSL H7-0737, complete genome.